CCCUAGCCCUGAUGGGAGCGGCAUCCUUUUGUGUACGCGAUAGCGGACGCAAAAGAUACAGCGGACAGCAGGAGAAAGC
rnacentral:sRNA from 1 species